CUGAGCCAGGCAGAGUGCAGGAAAGCCAUGUUCGGCUUUUGCCAAUGCACCUCAGUGCAGCCUUGUGGUUUCAGAAGUGUGCCUGGUCUAAACAGGCUGUGUAGAGGCUUUGUGAAGCAUAAAUGGUGGUAAGAGAAUAAACCAAAAUUUUAUGCUUCUUGAGUUGCCCUUCUUUGCCUCACAGAAUCAAAUAACAUGGAGCAAAAGAGUAUGGAAAUCACAGACUAGGAUUUUAGGUCUUUUUUAUUUGAAAAUAUUAUUUUCAUCAGGAAGUCUCAUGUAAAUGGUGCCAUCACUGUUGUUGGGAAAUGUGAACUAGCAGUUAGCAUUCCCAAGUUACCUUCAGCACUGUCCACUUGUUCUGAUCAUAGCGGAAAUAGGACCCUUGGUUUCUGACCUUUGGUAGAAGCUCUAAAUUCUCUUAAAUGCUCUCCCCUAGAUUUCUUAUCACUGAUCAUGUGGAUCUCAUUUUCUACUCGCUAUGAAUGUUAGAGCUUGAAGAAAGCUUUGAGGUAAUGGGCUGUGGAAGACAGAAGAGUGAACCAGUCACCUUCCUUGUUCUUCAGUUCAGACAAUCCUUCGUUUGGACAACUGGAGGAUGAAGAUCCCUGGACAUAAUGAAAGAGUAAGUUUACUGUUUUAUAUGGAUGCAGAAAGAUAGCCUGGUAGUCAAUGUUUUCAUACUGAGGCAGAAACAAAAAAAAAGAAAAAAAAGAAGUGUCACAGUAGGAUGUGUACACAGGACUUACAUGGAUAAAAUGUUCGUAAUCUACUUCUGCACUGAUCAGAUGAAGACUUGUAGUCCGUCACAGGAGCCGUAGCCCAGGAUGCCAUUCCUCCUUUGGAGACACAGAAGGCAGUAAGAGUAAUCAGGUGUUUAGAAACCAUGGUUUGGGAAAGCAUUGUUGAGUUUACAGAAAGGAAAAGACAGGGCUUUGAAAUGUUUAAAGGACAACUGCGAAGGAGGAAGUAAUCUUUGUUUUCUGUGUCCAUUGGAAUUAGAAAUGGCUCAUUUAUCUUGGACAGUAAGACAAAAUUAUGUUGAGUGACAGGAGGAUGUACAUAUACAAAACUAAAAGCAUUUCCCUGAAUGCAGAAUAAAUUCCACAUAGCAGAAUAAAUGCAUAAACCAAAAUGUGGAUCAGUUUCUGCCUUGAAAAAUGUUUGACUCAAACAGGGCCCGAGUGCUGCUCCGCUAGGUUUAGCUCAACUAGGUGCUGCUAGCAGGCCACUUGUGAGAAAGCAUGGUGGCAGCCAAGAACCAAUAGCUGAGAGCAAUGGUGUGAUGGAAAGGUUUGGAAUGGUUUGGACCUCAUAAUUGUUCCCAGUUUCUUGAAGGAUCUAAGUCACAGUAGAACUCUACAGAUAUAUAGAUGUAGAUUUUUCUUACAGCAAUUGAUCUGACAAUGAAGGGAGUUUGAUUAGAUUUUCUGCAGACAGAGUUGUUGGCAGUCCAUAAGCCUGAUCAUUAAAAUGGAAACACGGUUAAAAUUGGUUUCCUCUCUUGUUAGUUGUUUUCAAUAGAACUUCAUCCAAGUAUACACCAGUAAAAUUGCAUGAGAGUAAGGCAACACAGAUACUAUAGACCUGUGUCAAGAUCAAUCAACCUCAUGAUUUCUCUUAAGGGAUGUUCCUUGAAGAUCUUUAUUUUCUAUAGUGUGUAUUACUAAAAAAAAGUCAAUGAGGCUCAGGGAGAAGCAAUAGGAGAGGCUUUUAAUACACUUCAUUUUCUGCUUUAAAUUGUAAUUCACAUAAGUAAUGAGUAUUUUCCAACCAGAAUGGUGGGAAUGUUGCCUAGUGUUACUAACUAACACGUAUUCCGUUCCUUAAGCCCACCCACCACAUAGAAGCUAAUUGCAAGGAUUAGAAUACACCAACACACUUAAGCUCCACUCCUGUGGGUUUGGGGAGAAACAACACAUUUCAACAUUCCAGCUACAGUUCCCCUGGCAACGUACAUAACAACAACUCUCUAAAAACUGUGGGUUUCUGUUUUCUUAACCCUUAGAACAUUGACUGAAUGAAUACUUCCUUGAGGAAACAGUUCAGUCAACCAGAUAUAGUCAAACACUCUUGAAUCCAUCAGUCCUUUUCUCCUUAAAAAAAAAACCAACAAAACAAAAGCAGUUGAAUUCCAUGUCAAACUGAUCUCCUCCCCUAGCAUUAAAGAGUUUAACUCCAACAAAUGUGCAUACCAUUAGCAAACCUCCCAUAGAAGUCUGCAUGAAAAAAGACUUUAAAAAAUCCCAAAAUAUCAAUAUUUAAGAUUACUGUAAAGUUCCUAGGCAUCAAAGGACACACAGAAAAAUACACAAUGAAUUUUACAAAGCACAUAAAUACUCUUAAGAGAUGAAACAAAACAAAAUUAGCAUUUAUGUAUAGAACAUAAUAUUUUCCUAUCAGUUAUUAUAACAAUGAUAAUGCCUAUAGCAACUUUAUGAUUCCUCUGAGAAUUUCAAAUGCUUCAUAAAUAUUAACUAAUACCUUGAAAUAAUAUAUACACCAUUGUUGUGAAAUACAUGAGAUCUGCUCCAGAAUUUGUUCCACUGCUCAAUGAACUAGAAUCUCUUGUGAUGGUAUCACAUCUGCUUCUUAGCAGUGGCUGUUCCUAUCACAUAAAGGAACCAUCAGCUAAAUGCAUAUGCAGGGUGUCGGAAGUCACCAGACCUCACCUGAACCUCACAAAGAGCUGCUGUAGAUUUUGGGUUGUCAGUAGCAGGCAGAAUUAAUGAAUGCACAUGGCCAUAGUUCUUAGUGGCCGCAAGCACCACUGGUAUUUUGUAGUUUAUUUAAGCUAAUGGUCUGAUAUCCCUAGUAUUUUCCUCAGAAGUCUGCAUUUAUGAAAGCAUUUAAGAGUGAUAUCUCCUGGAAAGUUUUAGGCUGGAGUGGGGGGAAGUGGUGGCAGUGGUACAGCAGUUUUCUAAAGAGAGCCAACCUUGCUUCCUCAGCAUGCAAGAAUUGACCUGAUGAGGCUCUUAGAGAGCAAGAGAAGGCAUCCACCUAUAUCAAACAUAUGACUAUUCGCAGUGCAUUGGUGCACGCUUACUUACACAAAGGAAGGGUUGAAGGCUGCAAAACUAAAUCAUGAUCAAAAAGAUGUCAGUGCACUUUGAAGCAAUUACCUUUCAUAACCUGGAUUUUCUCCCUUUUUCUCUCCAUAAGCUUUAUUUUUUUUUCCUCUUAAAAGGAGUCAAUGUGAUGUUCUCUUAGAUCUUCCAUCCCAUGAUAAAAGCCACUGCCUCAUUUUGUAGCUUUGAACAGAUACAAGAAAGAAUAAGUACACCUGCAAAAUUGUUUAAAGUUCUUUAGCCAGAAACUUCUAAUGCUCCAUCACUAUACCAUUGCUUUCCAUUCAUGGAGAGAGUAUUCGCUUGCUGCUUUGCAGCAACUCCUACAUAAAUCACUGGGAAGCAGACUUUCCCCCCGCUCCAUCCUCAGGCUUAGUACACAACAGUUUGCUAAAGAUUAUGCAGCAUCCUUACUAACGUGUGGUUGCCAGGGCAUCCUUGUUCCCUAGCCAACUACUGUACUAAGGCUUCACUGGCAACCAUCCAGCUGUGUUUUACUGAGGAGCCUCUGCAGCAGUCAAGGGCAUGUUUUCACAAUUUACUGGAGAAGUCAGUCUGUUUGUUUCUUUUCUCCUAAAGACCCUAAGCAUUUGAGAAGGCAGAAACUUUUUGCAGAUGACUGUAAGACAGUGGAUGUCUCUUCUCCCUUUUAUCUGCAAAAAACAAAAAUAAAAAUAAUUCUUGCUGCAGUGGGCUUGGGUUUUGCAUUAACCCAGCCAUUAUGGACCCUAGACGUAUCAGUGUGGCAGUGUCAGGGCCAGCACAGGCACAGAGCCACACUGACAUGGCAAUACCUUCCACAGCUAUGCUGGUAACUGUUUAGAUUUGUUCUGUGCAAUGUGGAGUUACUCUCUUGGUUGGAAGGGGAAAGGGCAUCCUAGCAUGUGUUGCUGUUCAUAGAUACCUCAUUCCUCUCAAGAUUUUAGAGCAUCACUGCAAUGCAAAUCUCAGCUAACAUUGUUUUUAAUUUCAAGUUUUCUUGUGCAAAUAGCAUGUAAGAUGGAAUGAGUAAGAUGAUGCUAUCUAGUGAUGAAAGAAGGCUUAAUUGCAAUUUAAUUGUGUUGGUGGCACCCAGCGUUAUUAUGUCAGGGCCAAUUCCAGGCUGCAUUUCUGCUAGAUGGCUUGAACAGCCUUCGGUUACAGCUGACUGCAGGCUCCAUGGGGCCAGCAUCAGGCACAAACUGUUGCCAUUGCAAUAGCACGUGUCCCUAGAGAGCCCCAGGCCAGCACAUGGGCUGAAGCAGUCAGAGGGAGGGUCACAGCAAGAGGACAGCUUGACCAAUCUAUAUUGCUUUUGCUAUGGGUCUUCUGUUGACUAAAGCCUCCAGGCUGUCACUGCUAUUGAAUUUCUCAGUACCAGGAGACUUAAUGAUGUGCACUUGUAUCCAUAGCACUCUUUCAUGGUGAAUUUAUAGUACCAUUCAUGCAAUAAGGGCAAGAUAAAGAAAGUGGUGUGUGAGAUAUAAUAUUUACAGGGUAUUCUAUUCCUCCUUUCCCCAGAGAAGGAAAGGGGAUAUCGAAAGAAAAGAUGCCAUAUGAAUUCUAGAGCAACUGCAGGCCUUAUCUUGAUAUUACCUGAGAAGUCUUGAUCAUCAGUAUUCAGAUCUCAGUGUUGCACCUAUAGCUUUAGCUUUUCAAACCUCGGGGGGUGGGGAACAAACUGGCAAACAAGAAUUUGACUUUUAUUCAGUGUGUGAAAGAGGAGUGUGUAGCUUCCCAUGUAGUCCCACAGGACAUGCAGAACUCAGUUUCUUGCUCUGCACAACCUUUCACUGGAGGACUGUGAAGGAAGCAAAAGUAUCUGUGAUAUUAAUUACAGAUUAGAAAAUGCGCCUUUAGCAGGAUGUUUCCAAAUAAACAUAUUUUAUUUCCAAAGUGAUGGAAAGAGCUGUAUUUCUCAAUUUAGCUAGAGAAAAGGGUAUUAAGAAGGCAACUUCGUUGGGUUAAAAUGGGUUUCAAAAAUGAAACAAAAAGUAUUUUCCUUCAGUGCCAACAAAGGUCCAAACUAAGGAAUAACCAUGUUUGCUCAAUCUAAGGAAAAAAUAACAGACAUUUAGCUAGACUGUUGUCUCACUUACUUAAUACGGUGAGAUAUUUGAAAAACUGGUAGCAAUUUUCAUGAAACAAAUAAAAAUUUUCAGUAUUUUGUCAAAAAAUGUGAAAAUAUUACAUGCACUAUAACAGCUCAGUGGAACCAAUAAUAAUAGCACCAAGUUUUGCCAAAAGAAAGACAGUUAAAACUGAGACUUAAUGUUUUUUAGACUGUAACUAAAUCUAAAACAUUUUGACCAAGUUGAUUUUGUAUAGACCUUGUAAGAUUAGCAAAAAGCAUCAAAGGUAUAUUAAAAGGGUAUCUGGAAAGACCCGCCCAGCUUAUGUUGUUGCUAGUGAAAAGUAACACAAAUGAUUCAAAAUGUACAAAUUCUGUUAUCCCACCUGGUAUAUAUAAAUGUUGUCUAUGUAUGAUUUUUUGGAAAUAUUGUUGUCAUGGUUACCAUUCAGCUGUCUUUAUGCUUUAAUAUGCCCUAUCUUCUAAGGUUGAGGUUCAAUUCAAGUUCAUAGCAAGCAAGUCAACUGACGUUUUCAUUUGUGAGCUCUAAUAUAAUGUGCAUCAUUUGCUGAGAGGAAACUUGAAAAACUUGUGGCAUGAUUCUAUGAGAUGUCAAGCACCUUCAGAUGCAGCAGAAGCCAGUGCCCUGUAUGGCGUGUCUGAGUCAUGAAUAGUGUGCCAGUAACAGUAAGUAACAGUCUUAUUUUGAAAAGCUAUACACCUGUUUCUGUUGAUAGGAGGACAGUUUCUGUACUCCUACAGGCUGAACCUACCACCAGCAGCCACUAAAUGAACAAUGUGUUUGUCUCUCUGCAUCAUUUGUUUGUCUGAAUAUAUAGGAAAGCUUAAGUCUGUAAUGUUGGCAAACAUAAACUAAAUUCCUAUGUGUAACAUGAAAUAAUCCCAUACUUCUAAUUCAUUGAAAUGGAAAAAUAAUUUUCCAUUUCCUUUUCUAAAUUUCCUCAUUUUUAAGUGGAGGUAGGAGGAAUGAAAGAGUACUUAAAAUGAUGACAAGUAUUUUGCCUUUUAUAGGUCAUUGCAGCCUUGAGGUUCAAACCAUAAACACCGAGACUUAUCAAUAAACUCCAAAAUGCCUAGCCAGGGUAAUUGAGCUUCAGGUAACUCAGUGUAGUGUUCACAUUGUCUUCUGCAGGUAUACAGAUAUAUCCAAACAGUCAAGUGGAUAUGUUUAACUAUUUUUUUGCUAUUCUACAGAAACAGAUGGCCCUGUUCUUCCAAGUAGCCUCUUUACCUUAUUAGCCUAAAGCAAAUCCUUUUUACUGACUCCAACAAGCCACCUGGAACUGCCAGGAACGGCUCUUUCCUUCCCUUCCCUUUUCCUGAUUUAGCUUUAGCUCAGGAAAGGAGGUGUUGCUCUGUUCGGGGUUUUUUUGUUGUUGUUUUUUGUUUUUGUAAUUUUGUUGUUGUUGUUUUUUGUAGUGCAGUGCACAGAAGUGGAGCUUGCUUCUAAGGACCAGAAAUGUUGUGGUAAAGUUUCAAUAUAGCCAACUUCUCUAUGAGCAUACCCACAUAAUUUAAAUUAAAUAUACUUUCUCUUCCUUUCCUCUCCAGUAUGAAAAAUGGGAAGGUAAAGGGCAGGGAAAAAGUUCUAGAUGAGUGUCUCAUUGUUUUCUAUGUCCAUCUCUUACAGUCUGUUUCCUUUCAGUAUUGCUAGUUCUCGACUCGUUCCUGUUGUCACAAAGGAAGAUACAAACAAGUUAACGUCACACACUGCAUACCUCACGUCAGAUCUUCAGGACUCACUUUCUCUGUGGAAGUAAGUAAGUGCUCAAAGAAUUUGGUUUCUUUGCCUCUUAACUGCUUGGUUGCUAGUUUCUUUAGUUUGCUUUGCUUCCUUAAUGAAAUUGUCCUUGGGCACAGCCCAAGAGGGGUGGCCUAGAAGCACCUACUUUCAGGUAGUCUCUACUCAUGGACACAUCUCACAAGCAGGUAAGGUAUGCUUAUUAAAAAAAAAAAAUUAUUGUCCUUUCCAACUGCUCCAGAAAAUUUCUGAGGUACCAACUUAAUCGAAAAGGGAAAAAAUGAAAGUGUAAAAUACAAAACCCAGCAUAAAUAGCAGAAUGAUAGAAGUAGGUCAACAACAUUCAUUUGUGUGAAUAUACACAUGAUCACCAUGUGCCUAUGGGCAUGUACGCAGUAGUGUGCAUGUAUCACAACUGCGGUGCUAAUGUUAUAGAGACAUUAUCAAAAUAAUUAAAAUUAUCAUGGGCCUCAGAAAAGCACGUACACACAGACACCAACUACACGUUAUUUAUACAUUCAUCUUUUGGAGACCCAUUAAAACACAUGAAUGGUGUCGAUGCAUGUGUUUGACCAGAAGCUCUCAACAGUGCUCUUUUUUUUUUUUAAUCAGACACCUCAAAAUUAUUUCAUGACUUGUUUUCUCAGUAUGUGUUCUUUAUGGCUUUUUACUUAUUUUUAUAAUAUGUGGGCCAGUAAAUAUGAGCUUUAUCUCCAAAACUCUAGAGUUAACCAUUGUCAGAGACACGAAUGAUUUGUAAGCAAAUGGGACUGAAAGAGGCCUCUUUGGCCCCCAUUUUCAAUUCCAGCGUAUGUUCAGAUGAGUGGAAAAUGUUUGCUGCUAACCUCAAUGCAGAGCUUCCAGUUCACUGCACAAGUGAUACACUUCCAUAGACCUGAUGACGUGGUCUGUGAUCUAUGAAAAGAGGAAGAGAGCACUGAGAUGAACUCCAGAUGCACCUAUUUGUUAUGCUGUGGUAUCUUGAGGCCUGGCACCAUGCAAAAUUGCAUUUCGUAAGUCACUUUCUAGGCCAUAGCAUGAGACAGUAGCAGUGACAUCGUUAAGCAGACUGUCUUUGCAGAGAAAGGGUCACCUGCUUUCACAGUUUGUUAAACACUGAACUGAGCAGGAAGCUGUCUGGCAUUGCAGGAUAAGCCUUCUCCUCUAGAAAGUAAGUAUGAAACAGAGAUGACUGAGAAUAUUUUUAUCACGCGCCCAUGCUUUUAAACAGGUUAUUAGCACAGCCACAGCAGGGGGCAAAAGAAAUGAAUACUUGAUUUGUUCAUUAAAAUCAAAUACUUAUUUACAGCUUAGGUGAUUAAACUCUGCAUUUGGAAAGAAAAAAAAACAACAAAAAACACCUUCACUCUGUCUGCUUGAUGUUAAAUAGUAGAACAGCACAGAAGUGAAAAUACCCUGAAGUCCUGUAUCAUAUGCAUUAUCUUCACUGGUGAAGUGAGUGAGUGAGUGGAGAGGUGUGAAAUUCCAGCAGAGAGAAACAUGCUGUUUUAAGAGGAAGUGCUGACAUGCAAGCUACAAUUAGACAAAAAAUGACUGCUGACAUUUAGAAAUCAUUACAGAGAGGAAAUUGUGAGUGUAAUUAUGUCAUCAUUGACACUGUUCAAGUGUGCUGAUGCAUUUUUGCUGAUCAAAAUCAAGUGUUUAUAUUUGUAAAUAGAAUGUACUUAGCAACUCUAUCAAUGGAAAUGUUCUAGCCAAGAACUAAGGAAAAUAUAGCCAAGUCACUUUGACAGAAACUUCUAUUUUUCUUUUGCUUGAUUUUUCAGUAUUUUGCUUUCAGAAUCUUUCCUUGCUAACAAGAUCAUUUCUUGUUAUUUAUUAAUUUGCGUGAACGUUGUCUAGGUUUUGCUUGUAAGUAAGUUGUUUGGUAGUGUUUUAUUUUGUAUUGUCUUUUUCCAGAAUAGAGCAGUAGGAGUGUAAGUAAAGGUGUAACUUCCCAAUAUGUAUUUUACAUCCAGCAAUGGUAAACAGUAGCUGACUACAGGAUAUAAAAGAAUAUUAAGAAUGUACCAGCCAUGCCAGUCUUUUAGCUUCAAAAAUCUGUUGCUUGAGGACUUCACAGACUGCUCAAAAACAGCAGAAUAAUGAAGUCUUUCUGACUGGCUUUAGAAAUAGUCUGCUACUGAAGUCAGUACAAAUGGAAACAUGGUGUCAGCAGGUGGUAAAAUAUGUAAAUGUUAUCAUUUACUUUGAGGAGUUUGUUGACUGUGCUAAUACUGAAGUCUUGGCGCUGCAUUAUUUAUCACAGUUCUGCUUUAAGCACUGUCAAAAAUCCUUUACCUAUGACAUAUUAUCACUCAAUGACAGAGAAGAACGACCAAUCUAGGAUACGUACAAAUGCUCAGUUCAAAAUGAAAAAAAAAUAUGUGAAAAUGUGUAUAUAAUUGAUUCCCAAAACAUGUUUUUAUCUUAGAGGUCUGGGAGAUUAUGUACAAAUACAUUUUAUAAAUGUGAAAGCAGAAGUGUUUACAAAGGUUCUUGAGGGGAGUAAGAAAAGGUCUUGGCUUCUGAAAUAAAAUGUCCACAGCACAACCUGUCCACAAAUGGUAGUCCUCCUGAGGAUGGCACUUUGUUCACACUAUUCUGGAACAUGUUUAUGUCAAGAUUUAAGAAAAAGACUGAAAGCGUGAACAAAGGACACUUAAUGAGGCACUCCAUUUUAUGAGCGCAUUAUUUUUGAAGGGUAUAGCACAAAUACAAACAUGAAUAUUGAAUGUCAGCUAUCCUAGUUAAAACUAACUGUUCAUCAGCCUUUGUAUGCUCAGUUCUAAAAUUCCCGUUGUUAUUUCUCUGUUAAUUUUACAAGAAAUGUAAGCAUUGGCUUGUCUUCACUUUUCCCUCUCUAUUUUUUUCCUUUCUUCAUUGACUUUUCCCCUUGGGAAUGGAGUUCUUUACAAUUCACCUAUUAUUUUGCUGGCUGUCAUCCUGCAGCCAGCUGUGGGUUUUGUUUUGUUUAGUUUUGUUUUAUUGUUGCUGUUUUUUGUUUUGUGGGUUUGUUGUUUCUCUUUUGACAUAGGGUCCAUCAGUUUCCAUCAGUGUCCUUGUUUCCAUUGUUGUAUAUCCAUUGUGAAUAAUUAUCCAUCAGGUUGUCUUUUCUCCAUACCAUACUAAGGCAGGGGAUUUACCAACACACCCAAACAACAGUAACAGAAAUGGGUAUUUCCUGUUAUUAGUAAAAUGUAGUAUAAUAUGAAUAAUUAUUCCAUGAUCCUUUCUAGUCUUAAAGGCUUCAGUUGUGACUGCAACAAAGAUAGACUGUCAUAUAGACUGCCAUAGAUGAUACUGUUGGUCAGUCUCAAAAUCUUUUCAAAUCUUUCAAUUCCAUGAAUUGAAAGAAAUAUGCUAUUUCUGCUGUAUAGUGUGUGAAACGAUCUUAUGACCAAAGUGUACAUUAAAACGUGCAGCAACAAAUCUGGAGACCAAGCUGGAUAAAAUAAGAACAGUUUAAAUGGAAUAAUAUGGUUUAUCAACUAAAUACUUUCAUAUGUGAAAGAAAUCCAUUCUCUUCCCCCACAAUCAAGCUUCAUCCUGAAGUUCAGCAGAACAACGAACAACAACAACAACAAAAAAUGGUAAGAGUAGAAAAGAUGCUAUUCAAAUUUUAUUCUUAAAACAUUUUUGCUUUUAAAAGUAUUGUUAAUUUGCAUUAUUUGCUCGGGUUUCAUUUGUUAAUUUUUAAUUGGUAUAUCUGUGAAAUCAGUUGUGCUAUAUGUAAACCUGAAUUACAUUGUUUGUUGGGAUACCUCUAUGGAUGCUUUGCAAUGUCUCAAAUCAAAGAAAUGUUUUUAGAGUUAAUCAGAGCUGAUGACACUGAAUAUAAUACAUUGUCAGAGCAUUUUGAUAAUACUGAAAUAAUUAAUUACAACCUUUUAAGCAAAGAGUUUUAAACAAUUAAAAAAAAUAGAGCAGGAUGAGGAUUUAAUAUGAUUUUAGUACUACUUCUUGCAGCAAUUGCUUCUGGUUAAACAAUUUGUAUAAAUUAUGCAAGCAUUCAUAAACUAAAGGUUUAUAUCCAUCACAACAGCAUGGCAGGUUUAGAUUUACAGACACAAAUCCACGAGAGAUGGUACAGUUCCAACCUUCAGUUGGCAAAAGCAGCACUUGGACUGAAACAGAUCAGGAGGCUUGGAUGUUUUAAUGCCAGGGUAUUUGUAAACCUGGUAGGUUCACCAUGCUCAGUUCAUGUGAGUCACUGUUGAUAGACUUAAGAUGUCGAACCAAUUUAUGCCAACUAAAUGCCUGGCUUCUCUUACUGUAGACAUUGGCACCUCUGCUGAAAGUGGUCCUACUAGAGAGACUGAAAGAACUACAUGUCAGCCUUAAGGGCUGGCACUGGUAGGGCUUCGGGUCCAGUGUAGAGCAUGUCCUGCAGACAGAUAUGAAGUGGCAAGUGAGUGUGCUAUUAGAUAAGAGCUCCGAGAAGGACCAAACAUAUAGAAAGUAAGUACAAGUGAAAAGGCAAGACUGAAUAACUGAAGAUAAUUAAAGUAGAGAAGAGAUGACAGAGAUAAGAGUCUGCACACAAAUAAAUGGACUCCUAAAUUCCAUCUCCAUAUGCUUGGAGGAUAAUGAGAGAAGUGAUUGAUAGUAAAAUAACUGACAGCAAGAAGAACUCAUACUGGACAUUAGAAAAAAUUUUCUAAUGCUAAGAGCCAUGAUAGACUCAUCUUGCUCUUUGGGAAGCUAUGGUGCUCCUUUACUGAGGUUUAAAUACAGGCUGGGCUGGCAUCAAUCAGAAAUGAGGUAGAUAUGUCAGGACUGCCCCAGCAUAGGCAUUAAAUGACCACUUAUACUGACAGCAUCUUAAGCUUUUUAGGAUACAGAAAAUACUCCAAACUCCUGCUCAUCUAGAAGUGCUUGCAAGGAUUGGCAUUCAGUAAUCCCAGGGUACUCUGCACCCCAGGAAGAGACAGUGCUUCUGCUACCUCUGUCCUGCUGAGGCCAUACACAGCUUCCUAAUGAGUAUGCUAAAUCAAAGUACUUUCCUGUACAGUGUGCUGCUGAUAAUGAUGUGAUACGUAUGCCCAGUAUAUGGCUCUGGAUUGUAUUACUGAAGGAAGGCUACAGUACUGACCUUUUAAGCACUUAAAUUCUAAUUGUCCUUAGACCUUACCCAACUUGUGUGAACAAAAACUUAGAAAUGUCAAAAGGUUAUCUUUUCAUUGGCUUCAGUAAUGUCUUCCAAAAAUAUGAAAUAUUUUCCAGCUGCAUGUGGGGUGAGAGAUUUAGAUUGCCUCUCCUUACAGUGACAUAAAUUACAAGUGAUGUCACGCAAAGAUGUGGACAACGGCAAAGCUGCUGUAGGUGAGUGAGCUUCUUUAGAACACGUUCACCACUGGUAAAGGGAUGGGACACACAAGACCUUUUACAGUCCCAGUUCUGGUUGUCUUGAAAAGUUCUUUCCCUUUCCAGUUUAAGUUUGUAUAGUGCUUCAGUGUGAUUCUGGAGGCUGAUUUAUGUUCUAUGUCUUGUGUCUAUUUUAAUACCAGGCUCUUGCUUACCCUACCUUGAAACACCGAGCAAAUUCCCACCAGAGUCACAUUAAAUUGGCAGUUCCUCUUGGG
rnacentral:lncRNA from 1 species